rnacentral:rRNA from 1 species
AUUGAACGCUGGCGGCAUGCUUUACACAUGCAAGUCGAACGGUAACAGGCCGCAAGGUGCUGACGAGUGGCGAACGGGUGAGUAAUGCAUCGGAACGUGCCCAGUCGUGGGGGAUAACGCAGCGAAAGCUGCGCUAAUACCGCAUACGAUCUAUGGAUGAAAGCGGGGGACCGUAAGGCCUCGCGCGAUUGGAGCGGCCGAUGUCAGAUUAGGUAGUUGGUGGGGUAAAGGCUCACCUAGCCAACGAUCUGUAGCUGGUCUGAGAGGACGACCAGCCACACUGGGACUGAGACACGGCCCAGACUCCUACGGGAGGCAGCAGUGGGGAAUUUUGGACAAUGGGCGCAAGCCUGAUCCAGCAAUGCCGCGUGCAGGAAGAAGGCCUUCGGGUUGUAAACUGCUUUUGUACGGAACGAAACGGUCCGGGUUAAUACCCUGGGCUAAUGACGGUACCGUAAGGAUAAGCACCGGCUAACUACGUGCCAGCCGCCGCCGAAACAC